rnacentral:rRNA from 1 species
UACGUAGGGGGCGAGCGUUGUCCGAAGUUACUGGGCGUAAAGAGCGCGUAGGCGGGUCUUUAAGUGAGGGGUGAAAGGUUCGGGCUUAACCCGGACACUGCCUUUCAUACUGGGGACCUUGAGUGCGGGAGAGGCGAGUGGAAUGGUCGGUGUAGCGGUGAAAUGCGUAGAUAUCGAUCGGAACACCCAUGGCGAAGGCAGCUCGCUGGAACGGAACUGACGCUGAGGCGCGAAAGCGUGGGGAGCGAACAGG